CCUACGGGUGGCAGCAGUGGGGAAUAUUGCACAAUGGGGGAAACCCUGAUGCAGCGACGCCGCGUGAGUGAAGAAGUAUCUCGGUACGUAAAGCUCUAUCAGCAGGGAAGAUAAUGACGGCACCUGACCAAGAAGCUCCGGCUAAUUGCGUGCAAGCAGCCGCGGUAAUACGUAGGGGGCAAGCAUAAUCCGGAUGUACUGGGUGUAAAGGGGGCGUAGACGGUAGCACAAGUGUGGAGUGAAAUCCCGGGGCUUAACCCCGGAACUGCGUUGGAAACUGUGCGGCUGGAGUGCAGGAGGGGUAAGCGGAAUUCCUAGUGUAGCGGUGAAAUGCGUAGAUAUUAGGAGGAACACCGGUGGCGAAGGCGGCUUACUGGACUGUAACUGACGCUGAGGCUCGAAAGCGUGGGGAGCAAACAGGAUUAGAUACCCCGGUAGUC
rnacentral:rRNA from 1 species